rnacentral:rRNA from 1 species
GACGAACGCUGGCGGCGUGCUUAACACAUGCAAGUCGAACGGAAAGGCCCUGCUUUUGUGGGGUGCUCGAGUGGCGAACGGGUGGGUAACACGUGAGUAACCUGCCCUUGACUUUGGGAUAACUUCAGGAAACUGGGGCUAAUACCGGAUAGGAGCUCCUGCUGCAUGGUGGGGGUUGGAAAGUUUCGGCGGUUGGGGAUGGACUCGCAGCUUAUCAGCUUGUUGGUGGGGUAGUGGCUUACCAAGGCUUUGACGGGUAGCCGGCCUGAGUGGGUGACCGGCCACAUUGGGACUGAGAUACGGCCCAGACUCCUACGGGAGGCAGCAGUGGGGAAUAUUGCACAAUGGGCGGAAGCCUGAUGCAGCAACGCCGCGUGCGGGAUGACGGCCUUCGGGUUGUAAACCGCUUUCGCCUGUGACGAAGCGUGAGUGACGGUAAUGGGUAAAGAAGCACCGGCUAACUACGUG